rnacentral:sRNA from 1 species
UUUGCAUUUGUUUUUUUUAUGGAAAUAAAGGUGUUCAAAGUACAGACUCUUUCUCCUAGCUCCUAUUAUGUUGUGAAGUGUGUGAUAUGAUUGAUCAUUGUACAUCUAUUAGUCCUGUUGUUCCAUCUGCCUGCUUGACUACAAGCAUGGGAAUUUUGCAUGCGCGGCACGCUGAUCACUUGCCAGUUGUAUGUAUGAUCUUUGGUGCUAAAUCACCCGAAAUGAAGGAAUUUUACCUACUC